CCCUUAGAUGUUCUGGGCCGCACGCGCGCUACACUGACGAAUGCAACGAGCUUAUAACCUUGGCCGAAAGGUCUGGGUAAUCUCCAAAUUUCGUCGUGAUGGGGAUAGAUUAUUGCAAUUAUUAAUCUUCAACGAGGAAUGCCUAGUAAGCGCAAGCCAUCAGCUUGCGUUGAUUACGUCCCUGCCCUUUGUACACACCGCCCGUCGCUCCUACCGAUUGAAUGGUCCGGUGAAGCGUUCGGACCGUGGCCUUUGGACGGUUCGCCGUCUGUUGGCUGCGGGAAGUUCGUUAAACCUUAUCAUUUAGAGGAAGUAAAAGUCGUAACA
rnacentral:rRNA from 1 species